UACGGAGGGUGCGAGCGUUGUCCGGAAUCAUUGGGCGUAAAGGGCGCGUAGGUGGUCUGAUAAGGGUGUGGUGAAAGCCCGGGGCUCAACCCCGGGUCGGCCGUGCCGACUGUUAGACUAGAGUGCUGUAGGGGCAGGCGGAAUUCCGGGUGUAGCGGUGGAAUGCGUAGAGAUCCGGAGGAAGACCGGUGGCGAAGGCGGCCUGCUGGGCAGUUACUGACACUGAGGCGCGACAGCGUGGGGAGCAAACAGG
rnacentral:rRNA from 1 species